UGGUACUUUUGAAUUUUGCAUCGAAAGAGACGCUAUAUUCUAUAUUCCACUUCCCGAUCUGUUUCGAUCCGCCAUUUUUUUACGUAGGAAAGCGUGUGGUUUGGCAUUGUGUUUUGUCGAAUUGCUUUACGGAAAUACUGACUUGGGGUCACUACAUACUUCGAUUCUCGCGCAUCAGCGGACGCAGCAAGUGAGACGCCAUUGUUAGAUUGCGUUCUCUUGUGUAAAGUCGUGUGUCUAAUAUCAACGUUGGUUAAAUUAUUCGUUGAAAGUAGCACGCAAUAAUCUUCGGUUCUAAGACGAGCCGAAAAUGCCGGGUUUUAGUAGUGUUGGCACAUUCAAAAUUUUUAUCGGUAAUUUAGCCGAUAAAACAACAAAUGCUGAUAUUAAACCGUUAUUCGAAAAAUAUGGAAAGGUUGUAGAAUGCGAUGUGGUGAAAAAUUAUGGAUUUGUGCAUAUGGAAAACGAAGAAGCAGGGAGAAAUGCAAUACAAAAUUUAAAUGGACAUAUAGUUCAUGGUCAGGAGAUUAAAUGUGAAGCUGCAAAGAGUCGUAAAGGACCUAACACACCUACAACAAAAAUAUUUGUUGGCAAUCUCACAGAUAAUACAAAAGCGCCUCAAGUGCGCGAACUAUUUGCCAAGUACGGUACUGUUGUAGAAUGCGAUAUCGUGAGAAAUUAUGGAUUCGUCCAUCUAGAAGCAACAGGUGAUGUCAACGAUGCCAUCAAGGAACUCAAUGGAAGAAUGGUGGAUGGUCAAGCGAUGAAGGUUCAAAUUUCUACAAGCAGAGUACGACAAAGGCCAGGAAUGGGAGAUCCUGAACAGUGCUAUCGAUGCGGUCGCGGCGGCCAUUGGUCCAAGGAGUGCCCGAAAGGAGGAAUGGGAGGAGGACCAGAUAGAAACGGAUACAGAGACCGAAUGUUUGGACGCGAUCCGUAUCCUCCACCGCCGCCACCACCGUUCCUUCGGGAUCGGUUAAUGGGUGGUGGCCGCUUUGGAGAUUACGAAAGCUACUAUGACAGGAGAGGCUUCGAGGACACCAGGGAUCUCUACGAGAGGCGGUUUACGGGUAUGGGAUCCAUGCGCGACACUGGCUUCUCCCGUGGUAACGAGUAUGGCAUGUUCAGCCGCCGAUCGCCCCCUCCAAGUGGCAACAAUGGCCGGUUCAGUGCACCUCAGGCUGCGUACCAUCUUUGUCCAUGAAUGCGGGCAACCCUAGAGAGACAGUCCCGGGCCAGCGGUCAAGUCGUGCAAGAGACACGAUAGAUCCCUGCCUCGUAUCGCUUCUGGACGUGGAAGGAGUCUGGACUUUGAUGGUGUCGAUAACGAAGAGAAAAAGUAAGAGAAAAAAGAUAAACAUAGAAAA
rnacentral:misc_RNA from 1 species